AUUGAACGCUGGCGGCAUGCUUUACACAUGCAAGUCGAACGGUAACAGGCCGCAAGGUGCUGACGAGUGGCGAACGGGUGAGUAAUGCAUCGGAACGUGCCCAGUCGUGGGGGAUAACGCAGCGAAAGCUGUGCUAAUACCGCAUACGAUCUAUGGAUGAAAGCGGGGGACCGUAAGGCCUCGCGCGAUUGGAGCGGCCGAUGUCAGAUUAGGUAGUUGGUGGGGUAAAGGCUCACCAAGCCAACGAUCUGUAGCUGGUCUGAGAGGACGACCAGCCACACUGGGACUGAGACACGGCCCAGACUCCUACGGGAGGCAGCAGUGGGGAAUUUGGGACAAUGGGCGCAAGCCUGAUCCAGCAAUGCCGCGUGCAGGAAGAAGGCCUUCGGGUUGUAAACUGCUUUUGUACGGAACGAAACGGUCUGGGUUAAUACCCUGGGCUAAUGACGGUACCGUAAGAAUAAGCACCGGCUAACUACGUGCCAGCAGCCGCCGUAA
rnacentral:rRNA from 1 species